AGAAGGAUCUUAUAAGGUUUCUGUUGUGACUGCGCCUUCGGGGAUUAUGGUUGAUGGUCAUGGGAUUCGAAGAGGAAGAAAAAACCCUCGUGAUGAGGGUUCACUGGAGGAGUUGCGCAGGAAGCGACUUAGAGAGCUAUAUGGGGGAUCUUCUGAGGAAGAUUCAGAUGGGGAGUUUGGGGAAAUGGAUGCUGAAGAACAGGUGGUGGCUGGGGAAGUGGGCACUGAAUGGGCACAGCCACCGGAGAUGUCUGGAGAUUUGGGGCCUAUGGAUACUUCUGAACCUGGGGUUUCUGCAGGAGCUGAUCCCACUUGGGAUGCUUGGAGAAGGGAGGAUGGUUCUUUAAGUGUUCAUGGGGCUAAGUGUGGGCAGGAUGAUUGGGACUCAGACGAAUUGCUAUGUACUCCGGAUCCACGAGCUCUAGCUGUGUGGAAUUCGGACUCUGAGUAGAUUUGGGAAACCUGGUGUUUGGGUGUGAGUGUUUGGUCACCCAGGAGGAAGGGGAAUAAAAUGGGAAUGUUUGGCCAUUGCACUUUGCGUGUGGCAAGGUGUUGCUGAGGCGCCAUUGGGAUCUCUGUGUUUCCGUGAAGACUGGACUUGGACUGUGAUUCGGAUCUGCUGAUACCAUCUGGCUUGGCUCUCGCUGUGUCUUAUCGUGGACCUGGUUUGGAUGACUGCACCCUCUUCGGACUUUGGAUUGAAUUUGACCUGGCUUCUGUCUAUGCUCUCUGACUGACGACUACUCCCGGCUUCUGAAUACUGGUUUGCCUUUCGGAAUUUGCUGCUGCCUCCCGACCUGACCUUGGAUUCUCCUGACGACGGCUAUUCAUCAUCCCUUUGAAGCUUCGGCUUUAUCUGCACCGUGGAAGCAGUUUACUGCUCUUCUAGUUUGUUUGUUUUCAAGCCAGUUUGCUGUUUUUCUUUUGGGAACUGUCCCUUUAACUCCGCAGAGCCGGCUGUCUGUUUGCAGAAACGGUUUGAAGCCAAAAGAGGCUUUUGCACUUUCUGUUAUACUCUGCAGCUUUUGGAAGGUUUCAAGCCUUCGUUUAUUUUGCAUAUUUUCUUGCAGUCAACUCUAUUUGUUUCUCCAAAGCUGAAUUGAAGCGUCUUUAGUUUUUAUUGAAUGCCAGCAUGGGAAAAUAGCGUGGCUUGUUUUUGAGUUAUUUUUGUCUAAACUACUCUUGAAACACUGAUAAGUGAAGUGUUUCAAGGAUACUUUCUGUGUUUAUGUUAUUUUUGGCUUAUCUUUGGAAUAAACUCUGUUUUGUUUGUUAA